GGCACGGUGGCUUAGUGGAUAGCAUGUUUGCCUUGCACCACCAGGGUUGAGGGUUCAAAUCUCGCCUCUGCCC